rnacentral:lncRNA from 1 species
AAAUUCCCAUUUUUUUCGCCCCAAAAUUCCCAUUUUUUCUCCUAAUAGUCCCAGAAAAUCCCCCCAAAAUUCCCCUUUGUUCCCCAAAAAAUUCACCCAAAAAAAUCCUUUUUGUCCAAAAUCCCCCCAAAAAAUCAUGUAAAAAUUCAAAACAAUUCCCAUUUUUAGUCCCAAAAAUCCCCCUAAAAAUUCCCAUUUUUUCCCCCAAAAAUUCAUUUUCCCACUAAAUUCCAAAAAAAUCCCCCCCAAAAAUUUCCAUUUUUCCCACAAAAUUCCCAAAAAAUCCUCCCAAAAUCUCCCACUUUUUCCACAAAAACUUCCCAUUUCUUCCCCCAAAAAAUCCCCCAAAAAUUAAUAUAAAACUCUCUUUUUUUUUCCUCCAAACUUCCCAAAAUGUGCCCCAAUAAAUUCCCAUUUUUUAGUCCCAAAAAUCCCCCCAAAAAUGCCCGUUUUUUCCCCACCCAGCCGUGGGUUCCCGUUGUUCCUUCAGGCAGCCACAGCCAGGCCGUGCUGGAGGCCCCCAAAAUCCAAAAGAAUUCUCCUUUUCGCCCCAAAAAACCUCAUUUUUUCCCAAAAAAUUCCCGGUUUUCCCUCAAAAAUUUCCUUCUUUCACCCAAAAUUCCCUGUUUCCCCACCCAGCUGUGGGUUCCGGUUCUUCCCUCAGGCAGCCACAGCCGGGACAGCGCCGCACUUGAGGCGCCACCCCAAAAUCCAAAAAAAAAAAUCGCAUCUUUCCCCCAAAAAAUUUCAAUUUCUCAAAAAAAUGCAUAUUUUUUUCUCCCAAAAUUCCCAUUUUCCCCCAAAAUUCCUGGGUUUUUUCUACCAAAAUCCCCAAAAUCCCACGUUUCCACACCUAACCGUGGCUUCCCGUUGUUGCGUCGC